rnacentral:lncRNA from 1 species
ACUACUAUGUAUAGUUCUCCUGUGAUACAAUCCUGGACCACACAAAUGCCUUGUAUUAAACCUAAAAGGUAAAUGCUCUAAAUAGGAUUGUAGGAGAAAAGAAGAAUAAGUAGAUCCGGGAUGCAGUGGUGUGAAUGCACAAUGUAUGUGGGAUAUAGAGCUCUUUGCUAUAUAGAUAAAAACUCUAAUGGUAAACCUCGUGAAUCCUGAUUCACUCAAGGUACACAAGUUGUAGGGCUAAUAAUGGGCUCGUCUAAAAGGGACAUUUCACUAUUUGUGUCCCCUUUUUUCAUCCAAAUGGUAAAUUACAAUGUUUUAUGCAAAUAAUUUACAGAAGGAUUUAAGAACACACAAAUUAAUUUCAUUCUUGGAGAGGUGCAGACUGCAAUAAAGGGAGCUGGCGUUUGUAUGGCGUUAGUUUGCUGGUAUAACCAGCUGGAGUUAAUCAUCAGUUUUACAGUAAAAUUUUGGGCAUAAUAAGUGUUAUCUCCAAUAGAUUGAAGAUGAUAGACAUCAGAAUCCUUACCGGACCGCGCUUUGCAAUUCGAAACGAAAACCUCCACCCCGAGGAUCUUGCAG